UAGUGGCGAACGGGUGAGUAACACGUGGGCAAUCUGCCCUUCACUCUGGGACAAGCCNUGGAAACGGGGUCUAAUACCGGAUAACACUCUGUCCCGCAUGGGACGGGGUUGAAAGCUCCGGCGGUGAAGGAUGAGCCCGCGGCCUAUCAGCUUGUUGGUGGGGUGAUGGCCUACCAAGGCGACGACGGGUAGCCGGCCUGAGAGGGCGACCGGCCACACUGGGACUGAGACACGGCCCAGACUCCUACGGGAGGCAGCAGUGGGGAAUAUUGCACAAUGGGCGAAAGCCUGAUGCAGCGACGCCGCGUGAGGGAUGACGGCCUUCGGGUUGUAAACCUCUUUCAGCAGGGAAGAAGCGAGAGUGACGGUACCUGCAGAAGAAGCGCCGGCUAACUACGUGCCAGCAGCCGCGGUAAUACGUAGGGCGCAAGCGUUGUCCGGAAUUAUUGGGCGUAAAGAGCUCGUAGGCGGCUUGUUGCGUCGGUUGUGAAAGCCCGGGGCUUAACCCCGGGUCUGCAGUCGAUACGGGCAGGCUAGAGUGUGGUAGGGGAGAUCGGAAUUCCU
rnacentral:rRNA from 1 species